CCUACGGGUGGCAGCAGUGAGGAAUAUUGGUCAAUGGGCGUACGCCUGAACCAGCCAAGUCGCGUGAGGGAUUAAUGCCCUACGGGUUGUAAACCUCUUUUGCCGGGGAGCAGUGCUCCCUACGCGUCCGCACCGGGAGAGUACCCGGAGAAAAAGCAUCGGCUAACUCCGUGCCAGCAGCCGCGGUAAUACGGAGGAUGCGAGCGUUAUCCGGAUUUAUUGGGUUUAAAGGGUGCGUAGGCGGGCAUUUAAGCCGGCGGUAAAAUGGCGGGGCUCAACCGCGGGCUGCCGUUGAAACUGGGUGCCUUGAGUGGGCGAGAAGUAUGCGGAAUGCGUGGUGUAGCGGUGAAAUGCAUAGAUAUCACGCAGAACCCCGAUUGCGAAGGCAGCAUACCGGCGCCCGACUGACGCUGAGGCACGAAAGUGCGGGUAUCGAACAGGAUUAGAUACCCCUGUAGUC
rnacentral:rRNA from 1 species